rnacentral:rRNA from 1 species
GAUGAACGCUAGCGGGAGGCCUAAUACAUGCAAGUCGAGCGGUAGAGUGACUUCGGUUGCUUGAGAGCGGCGAACGGGUGAGUAACGCGUACACAAUCUACCUUUAAGAGGGGAAUAGCCCUGGGAAACUGGGAUUAAUGCCCCAUGGCAUCACGAAGUGGCAUCGCUUUGUGAUUAAAGCUGAGGUGCUUAGAGAUGGGUGUGCGUCUGAUUAGCUAGUUGGUGCGGUAACGGCGCACCAAGGCGACGAUCAGUAGGGGGCGUGAGAGCGUGGACCCCCACACGGGUACUGAGACACGGACCCGACUCCUACGGGAGGCAGCAGUAAGGAAUAUUGGUCAAUGGAGGAAACUCUGAACCAGCCAUCCCGCGUGCAGGAAGAAUGCCCUAUGGGUUGUAAACUGCUUUUAUCUGGGAAGAAAAGUCGGCAUUUAUGCUGAUCUGACGGUACCAGAGGAAUAAGCACCGGCUAACUCCGUGCCAGCAGCCG